rnacentral:rRNA from 1 species
CCUACGGGUGGCAGCAGUGAGGAAUAUUGGUCAAUGGGCGUAAGUCUGAACCAGCCAAGUCGCGUGAGGGAUGAAGGUUCUAUGGAUCGUAAACCUCUUUUAUAAGGGAAUAAAGUGUGGGACGUGUCCUCUUUUGGAUGUACCUUAUGAAUAAGGAUCGGCUAACUCCGUGCCAGCAGCCUCGGUACUACGGAGGAUCCGAGCGUUAUCCGGAUUUAUUGGGUUUAAAGGGUGCGUAGGGGGCCUUUUCAGUCAGCGGUGAAAUUCUGUGGCUCAACCAUCGAAUUGCCGUUGAAACUGGGGGGCUUGAGUAUGUUUGAGGCAGGCGGAAUGCGUGGUGUAGCGGUGAAAUGCUUAGAUAUCACGCAGAACCCCGAUUGCGAAGGCAGCCUGCCAAGCCAUGACUGACGCUGAUGCACGAAAGCGUGGGGAUCAAACAGGAUUAGAUACCCUAGUAGUC